UAGCAAGAAAAAAACGAAAGUUAAAAAAAAACUAACGUUUGUCGUAUAAUGUCUGGAAAUUACAAUUAUUCAAAUUUCCGAGAGUGGAUGUACAAGAGGAUCGAUGAGGAGACAGGAAAACUUUCGGAAGAGUUCAUAGCGGGGGUGGAACAAUUUAUGACAUUCGCAAACAGUCAGUCUCUAACACAAAGUAAUAGUGGUAAGUUUUUAUGCCCGUGUACUGUUUGUCAGAACGAUAAAUUUCUCGCGGGAACAAAAAUUUGGAGACAUAUAUAUAAUAGAGGAUUUAUGCCAGACUAUUAUGUUUGGUAUAAACAUGGAGAAGAAAUUGAUAUUGCAUUAGUAAAGAGUUAUGUUGACCCGACGCAUUUAAGUGGUAGUGAUCAAGAAGUUGGUAAUGAGGAUAAUUAUAUAGAUAUGGUGAAUGAUGCAUUUCGUGAUAAUGUGAGUUUUGAUAACUAUCAACAUGAUGAUAGUUAUCAAAAUGUAGUAGACCCGCAAUGCAACCAUUCGAAGAAGUUCUACGAUUUGUUAGAAGGAGCACAAAAUCCUUUGUAUGAUGGUUGUCGUGAAGGGCAGUCACGGUUAUCCUUAGCUGCUCGGGUCUUGCAAAACAAGGCAGAUUAUAAUCUGAGCGAAAAAUGUGUGGAUUCAGUAUGUCAAAUGUUGACAGACUAUUUACCUGAAGGAAACACAGCAAUCGAUUCACACUACGAGACCAAGAAGUUGAUGCGCAAUUUAGGGCUCCCAUAUCAUACAAUUGAUGUUUGUAUUAACAAUUGUAUGAUCUUCUGGAAAGAAAAUGAAAGGUGGGAAGAGUGCCAAUUUUGUGGUGCAGCAAGAUGGAAGCCUAGGGACAAAAGACGCAGAACCAAAGUACCAUAUAGUUGUAUGUGGUAUCUACCUAUAGCUGACAGGCUGAAAAGAAUGUAUCAGAGCAAGAAGACAGCAGCGGCAAUGAGAUGGCAUGCUGAGCACCAAGCAAAGGAGGGGGAAAUGUGUCAUCCAUCUGAUGCGGCGGAAUGGAAACAUUUUCAAGAUAUAUAUCCCCAGUUUGCCGAAGAACCUCGUAACGUUUAUCUUGGAUUAUGUACUGAUGGGUUCAAUCCGUUUGGGAUGUCUCGUAAUCAUUCAUUGUGGCCCGUGAUCCUGACUCCAUAUAAUCUACCUCCUCAUAUGUGCAUGAGUACAGAGUAUUUGUUUCUUACAAUUCUGAAUUCUGGGCCAAAUCAUCCGCGAGCUAGUUUUGAUAUCUUCCUCAAACCUUUGAUCGAGGAGUUAAAAGAAUUGUGGUCAACUGGGGUUGAAGCGUACGAUGUGUCCUUAAAUCAAAAUUUUAAUCUAAAAGCUGUGUUACUAUGGACGAUAAGCGAUUUUCCAGCGUAUGGCAUGUUAUCAGGAUGGACGACCCAUGGUAAAUUGGCUUGUCCAAUUUGCAUGGAAGAUACGAACGCUUUUUAUCUACAUAAUGGAAGAAAGACGUGUUGGUUUGAUUGUCACUGCAGAUUUCUUCCUCGUGAUCAUCCACUGAGGAAGAAUAGAAAGGACUUCUUGAAGGGAAAAAGCGCGGUAAAUGAAUUUCCACCUAAAUCUUUGACUGGUGAGCAAGUUUACUCAGAGCUAUCGGGUGUCAAUCCACUGAAAACGUCUGUUUGCGGUGGAAAUGGCAAUGAAAAGAAGAACCCUGGUUAUGAGAAAUAUCAUGACUGGCACAAGGAAAGCAUUUUUUGGGAGUUGCCAUACUGGAAGGACCUGAUACUCCGACAUAAUCUUGAUGUGAUGCAUAUAGGGAAGAAUUUUUUUGACAACAUCAUCAAUACUCUUAUGAAUGUCAAAGGCAAAUCGAAAGACACAAUCAAUUCAAGAUUGGAUAUGGCAAUAUUCUGUGAUCGGCCACACUUACAUGUUGAUACUGCUGGUCAAGCUCCAUUUCCUCCUUACAUGCUGGACGAAGAUGAAAAAAACGUUAUUGGAAUGUGUGAAACACGCUGUUAAAUUCCCAGACGGAUAUGCUUCAGACUUAGCUAAUUGUGUCGAUUUAGAGAACAACAAAUUUUCUGGUAUGAAGAGUCAUGACUGCCAUGUUUUUAUGGAGCGGCUACUUCCAUUUAUAUUUUCAGAACUCCUAGACCAAAACGUCCAUCUUGCGCUAUCAGGUACUAAUUAGCUACUGUUUUAUUUAUUUUGAAAUGAUAAACCUUUAUAAUUAUAGUAAAUAUUACUAAGAAAUGCAUUUUGAAUAUUGUAGUGGUUGGUGUAUCUUCCGAGACCUUUGCUCGAGAACCUUACAGAAAAAUCACGUCCAAAUGCUUAAACGGAAUAUUGUUUUGAUCAUCUGCAAUUUGGAGAAGAAUUUUCCACCAUCGUUUUUCGACGUCAUGUAGCACUUGCCUAUACAUCUCCCCUACGAAGCUGAGCUAGAAGGAUCUGUGCAAUAUAGGUGGAUGUAUGUUUUUGAAAGGAAUUUUAAAAAAUUGAAAACGAAAGCAUAGAACAAAAGAUUUGCGGCCGGCUCGAUUGUUGAAUCAUAUAUCAACGAUGAGAUAGCUUACUUCUCAGAGCACUACUUUGCUGACCAUAUACAAACGAAAUCAAGGUAAACGCUAUCAUUAUUCCUCGGUUUCAGUUUUUAUGUCUAUGUGCAUGCUUUUUAUUUAAAAAUGUGCAUUAAUAAUUUUCAUAAUCUUUUGGACAGGUUCACAAGAUUUCAUGAAGGUGAAGUUGCCGUAUAUCAUGUUCCUGGAGUGCCAGAUAUAUUUACACAUGUAGGUAGUCCAAGUGGAGAAAUGCAAGAAAUAUGGCUUUCCGAGAAAGACUACAGAUGCGCACAUGCAUAUGUUUUACGAAUUGUGAUUAUUUUCAGUCAUUUGAGAGGUAUAAUUUGAUAAUAUUAUCAUCUUCCUUAUUGAUUUACCCAGCUAUAAUUGCCCAUAUUAAUAUUUGUUUGACUAAUUUAGGAUGUUUGAAGAUUUCUUUACUGCCAAAUAGACAGACCUCUCUAAAAAAGACCUCUCUGCGAAGAGAGCUGACGAAUAUCAUAUAUGGGUGAAAGAUUAUGUACGUCUGACUAAUACUUUUAUUUAACUAUGUGUAUAUAAUAAUAUAUAAAUAUAUAUUGAUUUAAUUAUAUAUAUAUGUUGCAGGUUAGCUAUUGGAGCAACACACAUCAUUUUCCUCAGUGGGUUAAAGAUAUUGCGAAUGGACCCAUGAAUAAGGCCAGAACAUGGCCCAUCUAUUUCACAAGAGGCUUUUUGUUCCAUACACAGAAGCAUGGCGAGGGAAGAAAGACAUGUAAUUACGGUGUGAGUGUUAAAGGGGAGAGCUACACAAAUGCAUCCGAUGAAGCUGAUUACUAUGGGAUCUUGACUGAUAUCAUACAAAUUCAGUAUGAGGGGUCGGUCGAUUUGAAAAUCACACUUUUUAAAUGUAAGUGGUAUGAUCCGUUAGUUGGUAGAGGCACUCGGCGGAGAAAUGGUGGCAUCGUCGAUGUUCUUUCAUUGAGGAAAUACCAUAAAUACGAACCAUUUAUUCUAGGUACGUAUUUUAUAUUGAAAUUAUACUUUUAUGAUUUGAUACUUAAUUUAAUUAUACUUUUAUUAUUUGAUAUUGCAUGCACAGCAUCUCAAGCAGAUCAAGUUUGUUAUAUCCCGUAUCCGUACGUUAAGAAACCAAAGCAGUCGUGGCUCAAUGUUUUGAAAGUGAAUCCGAGGGGAAUCAUUUCUGGAGAAUAUGAAAAUAAAGAACCGACAUUGUUGCAACAAGAAAAUGAUGAUGCUGUUUUAAUGACUACGGUUGAAGAUCUAGAAUUUGAUCAUUUGGUUCAUGCUCGGGUACAACCUAUAAAUCUCGAUGUUGAUGUGGAAGAUGUUGAACAAGAUGAUGAAUUUCAAUGUAAUAUAUCGUCAUCCGACGAAGAUGGAGAAGUACCCUACUAAAAUAUAGUAUAAUUUUCUAAACUUUGUUUAAAUAUGUAUUGUAAUAUAAUUUUGUAAACUUUGUUUUAAUGUGUAUUGUAAUAUAAUUUUGCAACUUUGUUUGUUGUGUAUUGUAAUAUAUUUUUGUUUAAAAAAAUAUUUAAUCAACUCAUAAACAAAGUAAAAUUAUUUCUUUGAACCCUAAACCAACACAUUCUAGAUCACUACCCUAUACCCUAAAUUAUAUUAACCUUAAACUAAAACCAAAAAGACCCGGCCAAAUUUUCAUUUGGUGAUUGCGUUGUUAAUUUUCAUUUGGUGACUUAUGUAAAUUCGGUGAAAUUUUCACUCCCCGCCAAGCCUAAAUUAAUUCCCACCCAAAUUAAUUUAACCCUCCAAGGCCCAAAAUAAUUACUCUUAUAAUCGAAAAAGAACAGAAACCCUAAUCACUUGUGUUCUCUCUGCCUUCGACACAUCUCACCCCUUUCUAUCUAUCUAAACUCUCUGUUAAUCACUGAAGACGAUGUCGGGAAAGAAGAAACAGAAGAAGAUGCUCACCUCCAGUGCGAAAACACCAUCUCCCCUUCCCUCGCAGUACGAAUUCGUUCCAAGAACUCAAGCGCCUCCGCCUGUCCCGAACCGCCAACCUCCACCAUCUGUGUCUGACUAUCCACCUCCGGCACAGCUUUUCCAGGACUCGAUGGUCCAAUCCCGAAGAGCUUCAACUCCAUCGCCAAAACCUCGAGGGUCUCAGACUUCACAGCCUCGAGGGUCUCAGACUUCACAGCCUCGAGGGUCUCAGACUUCACAGCCUCGAGCGUCUCAGACUUCACAGCCUCGAGCGUCUCAGACUUCACAACCUCGAGCAUCUCAGACUUCCUUACCUCGAGGAUCUCAGACUUCAGCGACUCGACAACCACAAUCGCCACAAUCUCAGAGCACUUCUGAAGCUCAGAACUCACAGACUGCAGAAGAUUCAGAAGAUGAAGAAUUUCCUCAUGUAGAACCGACUCUCUCCAAAGACCAGAUGGAUGUUGUCAAUGCUCUUCUCUCCCAGCCAGGCAGGGAGCGCUUAACUACCCUUUCUCCCUACUUGGAGCCUGGAACCACUUGGUUUGGUUCGGACAAGGGUAAACUGACUCGGAAGAUCACUAAGAUCUUUAAAAACAAGUUUAACGGUCAAUACUACAGCGGGACUGUUGUGCCUCGGCGAAGACAAGAAAGAUGGUUUGUAGAGUUUGCAGUUGAGUUCUUUUCUUCUAGACUUCGCAUUUCUACUUUCUUUAGUUUAAUUUGCUUUUUAAUAUCAACUUUCUCUUCUGUUGUAGAAAACUCAUACAUGGCGUUCUACACUAACCGGUUUAGUUCAGGAGAAGUUUGAGAGGAUAGGUCAGCGCCGUCUCAAAGACAUUGUUAGCAAUCGCAGGACUUCUCGAAAGAGACCAAACUGGAUUAAGAAAACUUUGUGGAGAAAAAUAUGUGCUUUUUGGGACACUGCUGAAGCCAAAGAAAAGAGUUUGACGACUUCAGCUGCUCGGAUGUCUGACCGUAAAUGUCUUGGUCCUCAAAAGCACAACUCAGGGCAGAAGUCUUUCCAACAAAUCGAACAAGAAAUGGUAACUUCCUUUUCUUUGACCAAACUAAAAAAAAAUUAUGUCUUAAUACCCUUUACUUUGUUUACCAUUUCGGGUAGAGGAAUCGGGCAGACCGGUGACUCUUAGUGAAGUCUUCAUUAGGACUAAUACAAAAAGGAUGGGACCUUUGUGGAUAUGAAAGCACAGGAGGUUGUUGAGGUGUAUCGGCGGAACAAACAGUCAAAGUUGGAUGACCUUGAGGCUGAAAACGCAGACCCUUCAGAGUCUAGUUCACAAGCUCCAGAGCUCUCUAUAGAUGAUGCUAAUGAGAUAUUCCUCCUGGUAAUUUUUUUCUCUUAAGUUUAGUUUGUUUUUGAUAUAUAAUCUGUUUUCUUUGGUUUUAUAUUUUAUCUUUUAUACUUGAUGCUUGUUUCUUCUCGUUUUUGGUAGAUGAUACAUACUGUUUCCUCUGCUUUUAUUAUUUAUUUUUCCUUAUGGGAUACUUGUUUCUAUGGGUUUAUACUUGUUUCUCUUGUUUCUCUGAUACAUGAUACUUUUUUCUUCUUGUUUUUGAUACAUCAUACUUGGUUCUUCUCUUUUUUUUGUAGUCCACUUACACAGACAAAAGAGGAAAACAUUAUGGAAUUGGAAGCGUGGAGAGUACUCUCGUCAAUGGAAAGCGGAAGUACAGUGCAUCCUCUUCAAUCCUGGACCUGCAAACACAGCUUGAUGAAGCUCACCGCAUGAUCGAGGAGCAGGCUGCCCAGAAUGCAAUCGCUCUCCGCAAAAUCGAGGAGCAGGCUGCCCAAAACGCAAACAAUCUCCGCAUAAUCAAGGAGCAGGCUGCUCAUAGCGCAGAGCAAGGAAAACAGCUCAAGGAGUUAUCUAGAGUGGACAAGUUUUUGACUGCAACAAAUCCUCAGUACGUUGAAUACGUUGCAGCUAACAAGUCGGAUGAUUAGGUUCUCUUAUGAUCAGGUGUUAAAAUAUUUUGUGUACCUUGAAACUUAUGAUCAGGUGUUAAAAUAUUUUCAGCUUGUUAAACUCCUAUAAGAGGAGUUCUUUUGUAUCAAACUUGUUAAACUCCUAUAAGAGGAAUUAUUUUGUAUCAAAUGUUUUAGCUUGUUAACAUUUUCAGUUUUUUAUUAUCAAUUGUUCCAAACAAUAAAAAAAACAGGAAAUCAAGCAAAAUAAAAUUAAAAUCACAAAAUUUGGAAAUAAAUCUCGUUGUAUAGCCGCUUAUCAGUCAGUAUUUAGUGCAUAAAUAAACCAUUUGGCCCAAAAAACAGUAGCAAUGUAGUCGCUAACUAGUAGCAAAAUCGUAAAAUUUAACGACUGAUGACCGACUAAAUAUAACGACUGAUUCCCGACUAAUGUUUUACGACUGAUUCCCGACCACUAUAUUACGACUGAUUUUACGACUGAUAUUUUCCAACUGAUCUGCGGCGACAAUACAUGACCUUAUGACAGCAAAAAUGUCGCAGACUGGUCGUAAGAGAUGUCGCAGACUGGUCGUAAGAGAUGUCGCAAAAUCGUCGCCAAAAGUUACGACUGAAUUAAGACUGUUCUAUGACUAUGUACUGUACUCGUAAAACAGUCGUAAAUCAGUCGCUCAUUUCCGAUUGAUUUACGACCGUUUGUUUUUUGCGACGCGUUGGUUUCCGACCUCAUGUUCAGUCGCUAAUCAGUCGUAAAGUGUGAUUUUGUGACUAAUUUGCUACCAAUUGUGUAGUCGGAAGAUACAUGUUUUCUUGUAGUGUAUGGCGGCGGCUUAAAGCAUCAGCCACCCGAUAUUUUUUACCAGACUGAUGCUUAAUAGCGAAAGUAAACUGCUGGAGAAAGGUGAUCCAGGACGCAUGUCGAGCCGAAACUUUGGCUUGACUAUCGAGAUGGCGCAAUGCAUCAUGAUUGGUGAAUAAAAUAAAUUAUUGAUGAACAAGGUAAUGGCGCCAGUGUUUGAUAGCUUGGACGAUGGCAUAAAAUUCCACAUUAUAAGUGCUAUAACGAGACCUUGCACCGGCCAGCUUCUCGCUAUAAUAGGCUAUAGGACGUCCCCGUUGACUGAGCACUGCACCGAUCCCUAAUUUAGAUGCAUCACUAUGUAACUCGAAGGUUUCAAAGAAAUCUGGCAAAACGAGAACGGGUGCAGUGGUGAGUUUAGUUUUGAUCAGCUCAAACGCGGCUGUAGCCUCCGGAGUGCAAUUAAAUCUACCCUCCUUCAUGCAACUGGUGAUCGGAGCCAAACCAUGGAAGCUUCGAACCUCCGUAUCUGUCGUAGGAAGUGGCCUAGAAUGCACCGCUUCUACUUUGUUUUGGUCCAUCGCCAGCCCUUUUCCAGACACAAUGUAACCGAGGAACAAAACCUCAGGCACGCCGAACUCGCACUUAUGUUUGGCUGCAAAAAGUUGAUCUCUCUGAAGCAUACUCAGAACAUCAUGAAUGUGAGACAGAUGAUCGGUAAUGGAAGAGCUGAAUAUCAGGAUAUCGUGAAAGUAUACGAGGACAAACUUUCCAAUGAAAGGGUUAACUGACUGAUUCAUAAUACGCAUGAAGGUGCUAGGCGCAUUGGACAGCCCGAAAGGCAUUACUAACCACUCAAAUAAACCUUCACGGGUUUUAAAUGCUGUCUUCCACCAUCACCCGGUCUGAUUCGUAUCUGAUGAUAACCGCUCUUAAGAUCAAUUUUAGAAAAAAUAAAAGCAGAACCCACUUGGUCUAAGAGGUCAUCAAGAUGCGGAAUCGGGAAUUGGUAGCACACCGUAAUUUUAUUUUUUGUUCUACUAUCAACGCACAUACGCCAUGUUUUGGAAUAAGGAGAGCGGGACCGCAACGGGGAAAGGCUUUCGCGAAUAUGAGCAUUGCGUAACAAAUCCUCCACUUGUCUGCGCAGUUUCUCAUGCUCGUCCGGGCUCAUACGGUAAUGCAGACAGUUGGGGAGCGUUGCACCUGGCAUGAGGUCAAUCUGGUGUUGAAUAUCUCUCAGUGGCGGUAAUGAAGUUGGUAAGUCUGUUGGGCAGACACCGCGGAAUUCUUCAAGGAUGGCUUCAAUGUUGUUGUGUAAAGGUGAUGGAAGAGACGGAGGAGUCGGUGCUGUAACUAACGCAAACGCUAUACCCUCUUCAUGAAGUUCGGUUUUAAAUGUCCUAUAAGAACAUAUGAGUGAUGGUUGUUUUGCUGGUAAAACAGAACUAGGCUGAGCUUCUAGUACCAGAGGUGGAUCUUUUGAAGGACGCAGGAGGAUCUUGUGUGUAUCCCAAGUAAAUUGAUACGUAUCGACGCCAUAAUGUAUGAUCUAACGAUCAUACUCCCACGGUCUUCCUAGCAAAAGAUGGCUGAUAUCCAUAGGAGCUAUAUCACAGUAAAUUCGAUCUUUGUAAUAUGGCCCAACGGAAAACGGAAUGAGGGCACGUUGAGAGACACGUAAGUUGACGCUGUCGUUAAGCCAUCCUAGAGUGUAUGGCACAGUAUGGGCUUCACGAGUAAAGCCAAGUUUGUCGACUGCUUCUUCAGAGAUCAUGUUCUUACUGCUACCCGAAUCAAUAACAAAAGUGCAAACUCGUCCCUUGAUGGUACAAGUAGACAAAAUAUAUUAGUGCGAAGCCACUUGUCGUCUUGAAGGUGUGGUGGGAGGCAGGUUUGUCGCACAACCAUAAGAUGCCAUGUAUCGCCCGUGGGGGGAAAAAUGUCCUCCGUUUCCUGGUCAUCCUCUUGCAAAUCAUAGACAUCAAGCCCGUUUGCUGUCUCCUCCAUAAUUAACCCGCGUUUCGUAGCAUGAGGACAGGCUGUCUGUCUAUGCCCUAGUUCGCCACAAGUGUAGCAUCUCAGCACGUUAGGAUGUGUAGAUCAUCGUAGUUGUUGUUCUUCUUGGUUUGCCGGUUUGGUUGUAGAGUUUGCGGUUUCACUGGCUUCUUUUGCCGACGUCGCAGGAGCAUUGCUUCCUGUGUGUUCUUGACUGCGUGCGCGAUUGGACGGUGUAGACCAAUUUGACGCUUUUGAUUGUUGUUCAAAGGACGCUGCACGUCUAUGAGCUCCUCAAUUGUAGACGAAUCGAAAUGAGCCAUAGCCAUUUGUAGUUGGGGACGUAGGCCUCCAGUAAAACGAGAUACUAUUUUAACUUACCUGUCAUUAAUCUCAUUACGAGUCAAUAACAGUGAAAAUUCUUCUGCAUACUCGUCGACGGUGCCGUUGCCUUGACGCAAAUUCUUCAGUUUUGUGUACAUGGUGUGUUCGUAGUUAUAUGGGAGGAAGGUUUGACGUAGAUGUUUGGUCAGUUUCUCCAAUGAGUUGAUAGGCUCUUUACCCGUACGAGAACGUGUUGUUUUUAAUUGUUUCCACCAUGUAGCAGCAUGACCACGGAAGCGCAUAACCACGAGAGGAACACGAUGAUUAGGUGAGACUUCCUUGAACUCCAUGAUUUCCUCAACGGAUAUUAACCAAUCGAUAAGGUCACCGCCUUUCAGCCCUCCUUGGAAUUCGGGUAUAUCCACUUUAAAACUCUGCUCCCAUCGAUUAUUAAUAAAAUCUCGCUACCGCAGGUCCUCCCGAUAAACCCUUCGAUGAUCUUCUUCUUCUUCUUCCUCGUAUAAGUCAUGUGCCCGAGCAUCAUUAAAUUGGUGACGAUGUUGCUGUUGUUGCUGGUGAUGAUGAGGAGGUUGAUGGAUAGGUGGAAUCUGUUGUUGUGGUUGAUGAGGUUGUGGUCGUGGUGGUAGUGGCUGAUUAUGUGUGGCCUGGCGUUGAGGAUCAACGACCGGUUGGGCCUGUGGGUCCACGCGAAUUGUCAAGGCCGUCGUUAGGGCGUUAAGACGAUCUGUUACAGCCGCGAAUGCUGUGGUGAACGCCUCACUUUGCUGUUGGAUGGUUUUUUGAGUCAUUGUCUGCAUCCCUACGAGGAGGUCUCGUAGAUCCGUCAUAUCAAUACCAGUUCCUUCUGCCGUCUUUUUUGUCAUGAUAACGCAAGAAGAAAUCCAGAAACGUACUGGCUCUGAUACCAACUAAUGGAGAGCGGAAGCUAUGAAUCUUCAAGAUCAAGGGUUUGAAUGAGAAGAUGGUAAUGUUUCCCGAAGGUAUCUUCGAAAACGCUAGAAAGAUGGUGCAAAUACUCUUUGCAGUGUUCGUGAGAACUCUUAGGACCACGAAUACUCUUCGCAGUGCUCGAAAGCUCUUUAAAACCAAAUCAAUAACUUUAUUAAUCAAAUCGUGUCUUACAAAGCUUUGAUGUAACCGAGAAAACCAUAAACCUGAAGGAUUUAGUAAAAAAACUCAUAUCUCUAAAAGGAAACCACAAACACUUAAAAGGAAAGCAAAGCCCUUUGACUAAAAAAGGAAAUCCUAUAUGGGAGAGGAGUUGUGAUCGUCUGUAACCUUGUGUUGCUUGUCAACCACGGGUUUAGCUGCAUCAAUUACCCACUGGAAGGGUAGUUGUUGUUGUUGCUGCAAUCAUGUCCGUUUAUACCACAAACGGAAGAACAAAAGGAACAACGAUCAACUUCAACCAAUCUCACACCUAAAGUUCUUGGCGCCGUCAUAUAUUAAUGCAGAGCUGAUGCAAACAGCCGACUCUACAUUAAUCACCUACUGGCUUUAUUUAAAUCUAUUUUUUCAGAAAACAUCGAUAUGCCGUUUGGUUCAUCUUAAUUUACUGAUUAUUAAUGACUAGAAACUUUUUCCGGGCUACGCCCGGGUUCUCGUAUAAUCGUAUAAGUGUUUAAUUUAACUAAAUUUUUUUGGAUCAAUUUAUUUUAACUUAAUUAUUUUUUUUUGCACUUAUAUAUGAUAAAAAUUGUGUAUAUAUAUUGCAAUCGAUUUUAAACUAUCAAAUUGGUAGAAUAAUAAAAUUGGUUUUUAUCUAUUCAUUAUCUUGUGACUACCGAAUUAAACAUAAUUAAAACUCACAAUUUUUUUGAAAUCAAAUAUAGGAUAUACAUAAGAUGGAUUAAUAACUAAUUAAACUUAGUUAGGAUUUAAAUACUUUUAUCUUAUGUUUUAGGUUUGGAAUAAAGCAAUACUAAAAUUUACAAACUAAUUUGAACUUUGUUUUUACUUUAGAAUCAUUGAGUUUGAACACCAUAAAAUGAAUCAAAAUCAAUUCAUACCUAAAAUAAUAUUAUUUCCAAACCAGCUCAUGAAAACAUAUUAUAGAUAAAAAAAUAAAUAAAACAGACCAAGCCAAAUUAAAUAAAAAACUUUUUAAACAAAC